rnacentral:rRNA from 1 species
GAUGAACGCUAGCUACAGGCUUAACACAUGCAAGUCGAGGGGUAACGAGAGGAAAGCUUGCUUUCCUUGUCGACGACCGGCGCACGGGUGAGUAACGCGUAUCCAACCUGCCCCCAACUAGGGAAUAACCUUGCGAAAGUAAGACUAAUACCCUAUAAUUUCCUCAGAUGUCAUCUGACGAGGAAUAAAGAUUUAUCGGUUGUGGAUGGGGAUGCGUCUGAUUAGCUUGUUGGCGGGGUAACGGCCCACCAAGGCAACGAUCAGUAGGGGUUCUGAGAGGAAGGUCCCCAAAAUUGGAACUGAGACACGGUCCAAACGCCUACGGGAGGCAGCAGUGAGGAAUAUUGGUCAAUGGGCGGAAGCCUGAACCAGCCAAGUAGCGUGCAGGAUGACGGCCCUAUGGGUUGUAAACUGCUUUUAUACAGGAAUAAAGUUAGCCACGUGUGGUUAUUUGUAGGUACUGUAUGAAUAAGGACCGGCUAAUUCCGUGCCAGCCGCCGCGGUAA